rnacentral:Y_RNA from 1 species
AGUUGGUCCCACAGUUGUGAGUUAUUGUUAAACUGAUUAACAUUACCUCCCCCUCACCCCCUUACUUGACUAUAUGUUU